AUUAUUUUUUUGUUAUAUAUGACAUUGUCAUUAAUAUGUCGAAAAUAUUAAUUUUAAAAAUUAACAUCUAAGAAUUUUUAACUUAAAAAUGCUUUUCCUGUGGAUUUUAAACACAAUAAUAGUUAAUGCAUUCGGAAAAUGUUCCAAAUCUUGCGAAUCUUGUCAUACAACUCAACCAGAUGAACUGAACGUUCAUAUAGUAGCACAUACUCAUCUAGAUGUUGGAUGGAUCAAGACUUUCGACGAAUACUAUUGGGGAACUAAAUCGAAAAAUAACAAAUCAGGAGUUCAUUAUAUCAUAGAAUCGGUUAUCAUUGCACUUAUGGAAAAUUCAAAUCGAAGAUUUAUAUUUGUAGAAACGGCUUAUUUACAUAAAUGGUGGAAUGUAGCCAGUGAUAAUUCAAAAGAAAAUUUGAGAGCAUUGAUUACAAACGGUCAAUUAGAAAUUGUUGGUGGGGGAUGGACGAUGAAUGAUGAAGCAUGCACUAAUUACCAAGCCAUAAUUGACCAAUUUACUAUUGGACUUAAAUUCUUAAAUGAAACGUUUGGUUUAUGUGCUAUACCUAAAACAGCAUGGCAAGUAGAUACAUUUGGACAUAGCAGAGAAAUGGCAAAAAUUUUUGCUGAAAUGAGUUACGAAGCAAUCUUUAUUGGUCGAUUAGAUCACCAAGAUCGACAACAAAGAUUUUAUAGUAAAACGCCAGAAUUAAUUUGGCAAACAAGUUCCAGUUUGGAUUCAAAAAUUUUUGUUUCCAUCAUAUUCAACGGAUACACAUCCCCUUUUUUGUUCUGUUUCGAUUUUCUUUGCAAUGAUAACCCCAUCGUCGACGAUGACUCUUCGCCUGAAUAUAAUUUGGAUGGGAUGAUAGCUCGCUUUGCAGAAUAUAUUAAUAUAGUGGCUAGUUCUUAUACUACUAAUCAUAUCAUGGUAGCUAUGGGUGGUGAUUUUCACUUUCAGGAUGCGUUACGACAUUUUUCCAAUUUAGAUAAACUUAUUCAUGGUUUCAAAGUCUUGAAUCAUAGUUUUCAUGGGCAAAGGAUUAAUUUAAUUUAUUCCACCCCAAAUUGUUAUCUAAAAGCUAUUAAAAAACAAUUAGCAUCAAACAGACAAAGUUAUGAUAUAAUAUUUGAUGAUUUUUUUCCGUAUGGAAGUGAUCAACAUUCAUUUUGGACUGGAUUUUAUAGUUCCAGGCCAAAUUCAAAGAGAUUUGAAAGGGAAUGUAACUAUAUUUUGCAGAUAACAAAACAAGUAACUAGUUUCUUUCCACAAAUCGAUGAUAGAAUUGCCAAUUUAAGACCAAUGCAAGAAGCUUUAGCUAUUAUGCAACAUCAUGACGCUAUUACUGGCACAGAAAAACAACAUGUUGCUAAUGAUUAUCAUAGAUUGUUAACUGAAGCUUUUGAAAAAAAUAUCAUGCAAACGAGUGAUGUAUUAUCUAUUCUUCUGCCAACAAGUCCUUUAGACGACAUUGACCUAAACUUAAUCUAUUGUAUUUAUGCAAAUGUAAGCAUUUGUAAGCUAACCCAAGAAGAAGAAUUUAUUCUCGCAAUUUAUAACCCUUUAAGCGCACCUAUUUCACAUUAUAUACGACUACCAGUGUCAUCUGGAUGUUUUACCAUAUUUAAUUCAAACGAAAGGUACCUUUCGAUAUCUUCCCAUCAAUCGAUGAUUUCAUUGACUACAAAAUCCAUAAUCCUGCUAAAUAUGAACUAGUUUUUUAUGCGGAAGAUUUACCAUCACUCGGUGUAAAACUUUACUCAUUUGAAAAGAAUGGUGUUUGCAAAUUUUGCGCAAAACCUGAUUUAACGGUAAAUCAGUAUUCUUUAGGAGAUAAUUUAAAUGGUUUUCACGUGGAUGAAAACACCGGUCUUUUAUGCAGCGCAAGAUUAAAUGGUGAAAUUAUUAAAUUACAACAAGAGUUUUAUUAUUACAUAAGCGCCUUUGGUGAUAAUUACGCCGAUUAUACAAGAUCGUCUGGAGCUUAUGUUUUUAGACCAGCACUUCCAGAUGCCACAAAAUUAUUUACAACCGUUCAAACAACUACGUAUAAAGGAAAUUUAGUUGAUGAACUUCAUCAAAUAUUUAAUCCAUGGAUAAAGCAAAUUGUUAGAGUUUAUGAAAUAGGGAAUUACAUCGAAUUUGAUUGGUUAAUUGGCCCAAUCAAUAUAAAGGAUAAUAAAGGAAAAGAAAUAAUAUCUAGAUUUAAAACUGGAUUAAACACAAAUGACAUUUUUUAUACUGACUCAAAUGGUGGAGAAAUGAUUAAACGAAAACGAAAUUUUCGACCAACUUUCAAUUUAUAUACUGCAGAAAACGUUUCGUCAAAUUAUUUUCCAGUCACUUCAAGAAUUUGUUUACGAGAUGAAAAUAAAAACUUCGAAUUUGCUGUCAUAACAGAUAGAUCUCAAGGAGGAACUAGUCUAAAAUCUGGGCAACUA
rnacentral:misc_RNA from 1 species